rnacentral:rRNA from 1 species
CAGCAGCCGCGGGAAUACGUAGGGUGCGAGCGUUAAUCGGAAUUACUGGGCGUAAAGCGUCUGUAGGUGGCUCUUCAAGUCCGCCGUCAAAUCCCAGGGCUCAACCCUGGACAGGCGGUGGAAACUACCAAGCUGGAGUACGGUAGGGGCAGAGGGAAUUUCCGGUGGAGCGGUGAAAUGCGCUGAGAUCGGAAAGAACACCAACGGCGAAAGCACUCCGCUGGGCCGACACUGACACUGAGAGACGAAAGUUAGGGGAGAAAAUGGGAUUAGAUACCCCAGUAGUCCCUGUCUCUUAUAC